rnacentral:rRNA from 1 species
UCGAGCGGAUGAGAAGAGCUUGCUCUUCGAUUCAGCGGCGGACGGGUGAGUAAUGCCUAGGAAUCUGCCUGGUAGUGGGGGACAACGUUUCGAAAGGAACGCUAAUACCGCAUACGUCCUACGGGAGAAAGCAGGGGACCUUCGGGCCUUGCGCUAUCAGAUGAGCCUAGGUCGGAUUAGCUAGUUGGUGAGGUAAUGGCUCACCAAGGCGACGAUCCGUAACUGGUCUGAGAGGAUGAUCAGUCACACUGGAACUGAGACACGGUCCAGACUCCUACGGGAGGCAGCAGUGGGGAAUAUUGGACAAUGGGCGAAAGCCUGAUCCAGCCAUGCCGCGUGUGUGAAGAAGGUCUUCGGAUUGUAAAGCACUUUAAGUUGGGAGGAAGGGCAGUAAGUUAAUACCUUGCUGUUUUGACGUUACCGACAGAAUAAGCACCGGCUAACUCUGUGCCAGCAGCCGCGGUAAUACAGAGGGUGCAAGCGUUAAUCGGAAUUACUGGGCGUAAAGCGCGCGUAGGUGGUUCGUUAAGUUGGAUGUGAAAGCCCCGGGCUCAACCUGGGAACUGCAUCCAAAACUGGCGAGCUAGAGUAUGGUAGAGGGUGGUGGAAUUUCCUGUGUAGCGGUGAAAUGCGUAGAUAUAGGAAGGAACACCAGUGGCGAAGGCGACCACCUGGACUGAUACUGACACUGAGGUGCGA